UACGAAGGGUGCAAGCGUUAAUCGGAAUUACUGGGCGUAAAGCGCGCGUAGGUGGUUCGUUAAGUUAGGAGUGAAAGCCCCGGGCUCAACCUGGGAAUUGCUUCUAAAACUGGCGAGCUAGAGUAUGGUAGAGGGUGGUGGAAUUUCCUGUGUAGCGGUGAAAUGCGUAGAUAUAGGAAGGAACAUCAGUGGCGAAGGCGACCACCUGGACUGAUACUGACACUGAGGUGCGAAAGCGUGGGGAGCAAACAGGAUUAGAUACCCGGGUAGUCCCUGAG
rnacentral:rRNA from 1 species